GACGAACGCUGGCGGCGUGCCUAAUACAUGCAAGUCGAACGAACUCUGGUAUUGAUUGGUGCUUGCAUCAUGAUUUACAUUUGAGUGAGUGGCGAACUGGUGAGUAACACGUGGGAAACCUGCCCAGAAGCGGGGGAUAACACCUGGAAACAGAUGCUAAUACCGCAUAACAACUUGGACCGCAUGGUCCGAGUUUGAAAGAUGGCUUCGGCUAUCACUUUUGGA
rnacentral:rRNA from 1 species